UCCCAAGUCCAACCUCAGGGUGCCUACGUAUCCCUUGCGGGAAUCAAGCCACUCGUAGUUCAAAGAUUUGCAAUGAAUAAAUGACUCAUUGCAAAAAGGGGAAAUUUAAAUGAAUUUGAUUGAAAAAGUGUUUGAGUGAAUUUAGCUGAAUAAAUUAGGGAUUCGAUUUUUGAUAUGUGUUUUGGGGCGAAUUUGGUUUAGAAUAAACCAGGGAUUCAAAUUUUGUUGCAAUUGCGUCUAUUAAGAUUCUAGACUCCCUACGUACCCUUGACGUGAUCAAACAAACGUAGUUCGGAAUUUUGGAAAUUAACGGGUAAGUGUGGCCCACUAAUUAAGAAUUUGUGUAUUUGAGACAAUUUGGAGAUUUUCAUAAG
rnacentral:lncRNA from 1 species